rnacentral:snRNA from 1 species
GUGCUCACUUCCGCAGCACAUAUGCUAAAAUUGGAACGACACAGAGAAGAUUAGCAUGGCCCCUGCGCAAGGAUGAUGCGCAAAUUCAUGAAGCGUUCCAUAUUUUU